rnacentral:lncRNA from 1 species
UUCUGAGUUCUCCAUUCUAUUUCAUUUUAUAUGUCUACCUUUAUGUCAGUACCACACUGUUUUGAUUAUUGUAAUUUUGUAAUUAAGUCAUUUAUUCUAACAGACUUUUUUAUUGUGUGUGGAAUCCUUAGCGUUUUCCAAACAUAAGAUUAUAUUACUUGCAAAAAGAAAUGUUUACUUUUUUCUUUACAGUUUGAAUACCUUUGAUUUCUUUUUCUUGCCUAAUUGCUCUGGCUAGAACUUCCAGUUCCAUGUUGAAUUGAAGUGAUGAAAAUGGGCAUCCUUCCCUUGUUCUUGAUAUUAGAGGGGAAGAUUUUAAUCUUUCACCAUUGAGUAUGAUGUUCACUGGGGUUUUUCACAUGUGGCUUUUAUUGUGUUGAGGUGAUUUCCUUCUACUACUAGUUUGUUGAGUGUUUAUCAUGAAAGGGUGUUGAGUUUUGUCAAAUGCUCUUUCACCAUCAAUUAAGAUGGUUAUGUUUUUUUCCCUUUAUUCUGUAAAUGUGGUAUAUUACAUUGAUUGAUUUUUAUAUGUUGAACCAUCUUGGCAUUCUAGGAAUAAAUCCCACUUGGUCAUGGUGUAUAAUCUUUUUACUAUGCUGAAUUCAGUUUGCUUGUAUUUUGUUGAGGAUUUUUGCAUCAAUGUUCAUAAGAAAUAUUGAUCUAUAAUUUUCUUUUCUGUAGUGUCUUUGUCUGGCUUCCGUAUCAGGAUAAUGCUGAUCUUGUAUAAAUAAGUUAGUAAAUGUUUCCUCUUCUUCAGUUAUUUAGAAAAGUUUGAGAAGGAUUGGUAUUUGUUCUUUAAAUGUUUGGUAGAACUCACCAGUGAAGCAAUCAGGCCCAGGACUUUUCACAGCUGCAUGUUUUAACCUUUAAAUUAAAGUGAAAAAAUCCUGCAAAGUUUCUUUAUAUGGUAUGGUAGUCACUUGACAUGGUCACUAGUAUUCCAAAUCUCCUCCCUCUGGGUCCAUGGGCACUUCUUUGCCCAUUGUGACCACGUGACUUGUUUUUCCAGAUGAAAUGUGAGUGGAGGGGAUAUGUGUCACCUUUAAGGGGAAGUCUUAAGACCCAAUGCAGAAUUCUACAAUCUCCAUUCUGCCUACCAUGGUGACCUGCAAAGUUCCAGAUUUCUGAUCUCUUUCAAUCUGCAUUCCUGAAUAAGGACAUGACACGGAGCAGUGACCCUGCUGACCUGUGAUGAACAUGUACCCACGAGCAAAUUCCUCUUCUAUACCGGGUGCAGUCAUCUUUAGCUUGUCAGUUAUUGUCACAACUUGUUGGGAAGAUCAUCAGCUUAGCCACAUAGAGUUGCCUAAAUAUUUGAGCAGAAACCCCAGCCCUUCUGCAGGGUCUCACGUGAACAUCCUACCAGAUGUGGGGAUAUCAAGGUAAAAGACAGGGCAAUUCAUAUAAUAAUACCAACAGCAUACACUAUGUGCCAGGCACAGUUCUAAGCACUUUACAUGUCUUAGGAAAAGGUUUUUCGUAUCCUUAUUUUAGAGAUGAGGAAAACUUAAACACUUAGGUAACUUGCCUGGGGUCACACAACCAGUAAAGAAUGGAGCUAGAUUCAAACCCAAGCAGGCUGGCUGCAGUAGCCAGAAUGACCCAAUCGUAGUUCACAGUAGUAUUCACUCAAGGGAUUCAGUAGGAUCCAUAAUGAUUCAUAGGACAGAAUGCAUAUCUCAACAAAACAUAUGUUUGUUUUGUGUUGUCUGAAGGUUGUAGAUGAAGUACCUGGCAAGCAUGUCAGAAUUCUGAGCUGCCACUGGAUGAGAAACUUCCAUGUCAGAGAAUCCUUUCUCCUUCCUACAUGGAGAGGUGGUGAGUUAGUGAGUACAAUAAGAGAUAGUGCUUAUACGUAGAUGAGUUAUUAGAAAAUCUUUAUGGAGCACACGCUAUGUGUGGAGCAUGUGCCAGUAACAAGACAAGGAUGAUUGUCUUUGUGUCUCUGAGAAUCCAGCAGACCUCUAGGGAGAAGAAGGAGAGUUCACUUCAAUGAGCCCAGAGUCCCUCACUCUCCUGGCUUUUUGGAGACUGCCUGCCUUCCAUAGCCACAUUAUCCUAAGGGAGGAAAGAAAGAGUUAACAUUCCAUGGCCUUAUCCAAAGCCUUCUUUGACUGUUAUUGGGAAACAGUGCUUUGGGGGAUGAUACUGCUUAGUGCAAAUAAAAUGUCCUCUGGCCUGAACCUUAGAGAACCCUGAGCAUGGCAUCCACCUUGCUGUGGGAACCAACACUUUAAUUUCCUUUCCUCUGGCUCAACGCCUGUAAUCCUGGCACUUUGGGAUGCUGUGGCAGGAGGAUCAGUUGAACCCAGGAAUUCCAGCCUUGGCAAUAUAGCAAGACACCUUCUUCACAAAAAAA